rnacentral:misc_RNA from 1 species
GACAUCGCGCAUUUCGCCCUUCUUUUCUUGUCACACUCGCACCGACUGGCGCCGGCCGCUCCUUGCUCUCGUUGUCGCACGCACUGCCAUCACUCCGAUUUGGUGGCACUUUAAGUUUACACCGGCAUAAACUCAUCAUCAGUGUGCGGUAACGCACCGAUCCGUGCCGCCUCCCUCUUCCCUGCCCUACCCACGUCUGCACAGCUAUACCGGCCUCUCCCACGGCACGGCCUACGCGGCAACGCUGCCCCGGCAUCGAUACGCAGCAGGGCUGGGUGGACACCAGGCGAAAGCGAAGACCUUCCACAGCCCCCGCCCCCUACACCCACUCCCCUUCCUGUAGCCACGGCCUUCUCUAUCGUAACCAUCAGCUUGGCGUGUACCUGUCCGUGUUUUCCCUGGCCACGAUGCCGUCUGCUCAGAUCAUUGACGGCAAGGCGAUUGCGGCAGCCAUCCGCAGUGAGCUGAAGGAUAAGGUGGCGGCCUUGAGGGAGCUUUACGGCGGCAGGGUGCCAGGGCUCGCCUCCAUCAUCGUGGGGCAGCGUAUGGACUCGAAAAAGUACGUUCAGCUGAAGCACAAAGCCGCAGCGGAGGUUGGGAUGGCCAGCUUCAACGUUGAACUGCCCGAGGACAUUUCGCAGGAGGUGCUCGAGGCCAACGUUGAGAAGCUCAACAACGACCCAAACUGCCACGGCAUCAUUGUCCAGCUGCCUUUGCCGAAGCAUCUCAAUGAAAACACAACCAUUGAGAAGAUUCACCCACGCAAGGACGCCGAUGCGCUGCUGCCCGUCAACGUCGGGCUGCUCCACUACAAGGGCAGGGAGCCGCCCUUCACCCCCUGCACGGCGAAGGGCGUCAUUGUGCUCUUGAAGCGCUGUGGUAUCGAGAUGGCUGGCAAACGCGCGGUCGUGCUGGGCCGCAGCAACAUUGUUGGCGCUCCAGUUGCCGCGCUCCUCAUGAAGGAAAACGCCACUGUCACCAUUGUUCACUCGGGCACAUCGACAGAGGACACGAUCGAUUACCUGCGCACCGCCGACAUCGUCAUCGCGGCGAUGGGCCAGCCCGGGUACGUCAAGGGGGAGUGGAUCAAGGAGGGGGCCGCCGUUGUGGAUGUCGGCACGACGCCCGUACCGGACCCAUCGAAGAAAGAGGGCUAUCGUCUCGUCGGUGAUGUCUGCUUCGAGGAGGCUGCGGAGCGCGCAGCGUGGAUCUCACCGGUGCCCGGUGGUGUUGGCCCCAUGACGAUUGCCAUGCUUCUCGAGAACACUCUCGAGGGCUUCAAGACCGCGUUGGGCGUAUCCUAGGGCACGCGCGCUCUACUUCGUGCUGUUAGCGUAUGCGUACCACCAGGGGAGAGCUGAUGCGAGAGGAGAGGCCAUAGCGGGUGGGCUGGGUGGAGGGCGGUGAGGGUGGGGAGCGAAGGAUGCCGCGCUGUCGGUGUUGCUGGAUUCACCGGGGACGACAGUCUUCGUCCCCCGCAUGCCACGCCGUUUGCGGCCCGCUUUGCCCUGGGCGGGAAGUGUGUUUGGAGGGAUGCAUCGUCUUUCCUCUACCAGCAACAUAGCAUGCACAGCGCACAGCUGGCGUGGAGUCGCGCCAGCCUUUCCUCAGCGUCCGAUCACACGUGAGGCAUUUCAACAUCAACGCUAUUCUCAACCGCUUUCAAAGUGCCCAACGCGUAGCGGGCUGGCUUAGUGGUGAGGGAACACUGUGGCGGCCUCAAUGCAAGGACGACCCGCUCUCGCCGCACCGGCGCAUGGCGCUAUUCAUGUCGGCCCGAGACUUCCCCUCGGCGACCUCUUCCCUCAAAGGAAGCAGCAGCUUACGUCUCGCUCUAAAAGCGAGGUGGUACGCUCCGGCUCCCAGAGCGCCACGCGCGUUUGUGGAUGACUUCUCUUUCCUCAGUAGCCCAUGAACUUUCCUGCACGGCCCACUCUGUUCCAACGACACGUAUGUCGUCGCCGCCAUCGGCACGACGGCGAGAACACCCUGCGACCGCCCCCACUCACUUCUCUCCUUGACCUCCUUUCUUGCUCUCCGCUGCGCCAUCUCCAG